UGGGGAAUAUUGGACAAUGGGCGCAAGCCUGAUCCAGCCAUGCCGCGUGAGUGAUGAAGGCCCUAGGGUUGUAAAGCUCUUUCACCGGUGAAGAUAAUGACGGUAACCGGAGAAGAAGCCCCGGCUAACUUCGUGCCAGCAGCCGCGGUAAUACGAAGGGGGCUAGCGUUGUUCGGAUUUACUGGGCGUAAAGCGCACGUAGGCGGACUUUUAAGUCAGGGGUGAAAUCCCGGGGCUCAACCCCGGAACUGCCUUUGAUACUGGAAGUCUUGAGUAUGGUAGAGGUGAGUGGAAUUCCGGGUGUAGAAGUGAAAUUCGUAGAUAUUCGGAGGAACACCAGUGGCGAAGGCGGCUCACUGGACCAUUACUGACGCUGAGGUGCGAAAGCGUGGGGAGCAAACAGG
rnacentral:rRNA from 1 species